GAUCAUAAAAUUUAUUUAUUUUACUACUUUGAAUAGGAAUUUGGUAAUUGGUAAAUUUACAGUUACAAUACGAAUGUUGUGUCGUUUCCACUUUAAGCCUUUGGGCUUGAGGUGUGAAAUGACUGUCAUACCCUUGGAGUGGGUUUUGGGGCAUGACAUCAUAAGUUCGGUACAUACGAAAUCAGUACAUUAGAAUUCUCAUCAUACCUAUUAGAAGUUGACUGGAAAAUGUGAAGUUGGCAUUUCACAAGAAGCUGCCUUCUUUGGUGAUGAAGAAUUGGGCCUCUAGGGAAGUUGAAUGAUGGACCCCAAGAUGUAUGAAGUUACAUUGCUAAAACCUCUCUGUAUAGAGAAAGCUUCUUUGGAGAUUAUCCAGGAUCAACUAUGGUAGGAUGUCUGGAAAUUUCGGUUGGUGGCGAGCUUCCUCAAAGCUUUGAAUCGAGGAUGGAUGAACAAAACAAGGAGUAUGUACAAGCUGAAUACAUGGGGAAACCUGCGAAGUGUGAAUCAAUUUUUUAGUAUCCAGAUAGUAGCCUUCUUCUACUGCUGCUGAGUGCACACCCUUUGUGCUCUCAUCUGGACAGAAAAGACAAGUAUGGUUGAAAAACAUUCAGAAUUUUUCAAUAUUUGGACUAAGAUUGAUUGAAACUGGGCUAUUGAAGUUUAUGAGUAAAACCCGAUGUUCAAAUUAUAUGCUAAACAUAAGAAUUAAGAGUUCAACCUGGAGGCUUUUUGCUCUUCAUCUACAAAGUCAGAAACUAAAGUCACAUCCAUUCAUCCCAACUGAUCUAGCCAUAGACAACCAGAACCUAAACUGUGUAGAACUGGAAAACGAAUCCUUAGGUUAUUUGUUGAACUUACCGGGGCUGAAGAAUCCUUUCUAAAAACAGAAAUUGGCAAUGAUUAGCUCAAAGCGGGAUGCAUAUACAAAGGUUCUUCCACAAGUUACUGAAUGCCAGAACCAAUAGGAAUCAUAUUAACAACAUAAGCAAUGAGUAUGGUGAGAAGCUGACUGAUCCCAUGCUAGUAUGAGAAACUUUUCAUCCUCUUUGAGUCUUGAUCCAUUAGUACCCAGAAUUUGUAAGAGAAAUUGCUUUGACAUCAACCUCAACCCAAAGGUAGGUUAGCCCUAUCAUUUCUGGAAAUGAGUGGAACUGGUAUGUCACUGUCACUCAGAAAAUUUUGGAGAUUAAAAGGGCUCAGCCUAUAGCCUGUUUUUUCUUUCAUUGUAGUGCUUAAGGAUAAAAUCAUAUGGAUGGGCAAUUAGAAAGGCUUUCCCUGUUCAUUCAGCUUGGAGGCAUCUCCUGGAUACUCCCUUCCUAAAGUGGAAAUGUUUGAGACUUCCUAGAGAUGGGGACGGUCCUUUUGCUUGCUAUCCAUAAGAGAAUAUCCACAUUUGACAAGAUCAUAACCAAAGGAAUCACUUCUCAGGCCUCAUGCAUAUUUUGUAGACUAGUAAUUGAAGACAUCAAUCAGAU
rnacentral:lncRNA from 1 species